AGAGUUUGAUCCUGGCUCAGAAUCAACGCUGGCGGCGUGCCUAACACAUGCAAGUCGCACGAGAAAGGGUAGCAAUACCUGAGUAAAGUGGCGCACGGGUGAGUAACACGUGAAUCAUCUACCUCCGAGUGGGGAAUAACCUAGAGAAAUCUGGGCUAAUACCGCAUAACACUUACGAGUCAAAGCAGCAAUGCGCUUGGAGAGGAGUUCGCGGCCGAUUAGCUAGUUGGCGGGGUAAUGGCCCACCAAGGCGAUGAUCGGUAUCCGGCCUGAGAGGGCGCACGGACACACUGGAACUGAAACACGGUCCAGACUCCUACGGGAGGCAGCAGUGGGGAAUUUUGCGCAAUGGGGGAAACCCUGACGCGGCAACGCCGCGUGGAGGAUGAAAUAUCUUGGUAUGUAAACUCCUUUCGAUGGGGAAGAUUAUGACGGUACCCAUAGAAGAAGCCCCGGCUAACUUCGUGCCAGCAGCCGCGGUAAUACGAGGGGGGCAAGCGUUGUUCGGAUUUAUUGGGCGUAAAGGGUGCGUAGGCGGUUUGGCAAGUCUUAUGUGAAAUCUUCGGGCUCAACCCGAAGUCUGCAUAAGAAACUGCCGGGCUUGAGUAUGGGAGAGGUGAGUGGAAUUUCCGGUGUAGCGGUGAAAUGCGUAGAUAUCGGAAGGAACACCUGUGGCGAAAGCGGCUCACUGGACCAUAACUGACGCUGAGGCACGAAAGCUAGGGGAGCAAACAGGAUUAGAUACCCUGGUAGUCCUAGCCCUAAACGAUGAUUGCUUGGUGUGGCAGGUACCCAAUCCUGCCGUGCCGAAGCUAACGCGAUAAGCAAUCCGCCUGGGGAGUACGGUCGCAAGGCUGAAACUCAAAGGAAUUGACGG
rnacentral:rRNA from 1 species